rnacentral:rRNA from 1 species
GUGGGGAAUUUUGGACAAUGGGCGCAAGCCUGAUCCAGCAAUGCCGCGUGCAGGAAGAAGGCCUUCGGGUUGUAAACUGCUUUUGUACGGAACGAAAAGGCUCUGGUUAAUACCUGGGGCUCAUGACGGUACCGUAAGAAUAAGCACCAGCUAACUACGUGCCAGCAGCCGCGGUAAUACGUAGGGUGCAAGCGUUAAUCGGAAUUACUGGGCGUAAAGCGUGCGCAGGCGGUUUUGUAAGACAGACGUGAAAUCCCCGGGCUCAACCUGGGAAUGGCGUUUGUGACUGCAAAGCUGGAGUGCGGCAGAGGGGGAUGGAAUUCCGCGUGUAGCAGUGAAAUGCGUAGAUAUGCGGAGGAACACCGAUGGCGAAGGCAAUCCCCUGGGCCUGCACUGACGCUCAUGCACGAAAGCGUGGGGAGCAAACAGGAUUAGAUACCCCAGUAGUCC